UCCAGCAGUUCCCCCAUCCCCUCCCUCAUCGUUCUUUUAGGGGAACAGAGCAAAAAAACUGCUUCCAGCAGUUCCCCAAUCCUCUCCCCGUUUUUCUGGCCUCCCCCAAAUCGUCCUCUCUCUCCCCUCUAUGUAGGGGAACGGCGACCUCCCCGAUCCCCUCCCCGACUCGCUGGACGAGGCAACAACUGCGCCCGGAAAACUCCCUCCCGCCACCACGCCACUGCCGUCGCUGCAUCAUCAGAUUUUGGUAAUGGACGAUCAGAGUUAUUUUGAUCUUUUGCAAAAUGAUGUCGGAUUGAAUGAUUUGCAUUGGACCGAAGAACAACAUGUCGAUCUUGAAGGGCCUGAAGAACAACAAACUGAUCUUGAGGGGCAUGACGAAGAACAAACUGAUCUCGAAGGGCCUACAGAACCUACCCCUCCUAUGACAGCAAGGUCUUCGAAAGCAAAGGCGAAGAAAGUAAGCGCUUCCAAAGCAAGUGCUUCGAAGAGGCAAAAGAAUUUCAGCAAGGCUGAAGACUUAACUUUGGUGGAUGCGUACCUCGAGAUAGCUCAAGAUCCAAUCAUAGGAGUAGACCAAUCUCGUGAUUGUUAUUGGAAAAGAAUCGAUGCUUACUUCCAUGCCAAUAAAUCUGAAGACCAUGGUCGCACACAAGGUUCUCUUCAGCAUCGUUGGGCUAUUAUUUAAGAACAAGUGAAUAGGUUAAAGAUGCAGCAUGGCGGGCUCAAAGUUCUUCCAGUACAGUUAAUAGUAGUGCCAUGGAAUCAUUUGGGGGUAUCUUGGAGACAAGGGAGUCAAAAAGACAAGAGCGGUUUGAGCUCAUGAUUGCAAUGGACAAACAGAGAGAAGAAGAUAGGUUGGUAGAAGAAAGAAAGAAACUUGCAAUACAAGAAAAAAAGAUGGAAUUAGAAGAAGAAAAGAUACGAAUCAUGAGAAUGGCGGAAGAACGCAUGAUGGGGGCUGAAGAAAGCAAAAUAAUGAGCAUGGACCUUAGUGGCAUGGAUGAGCAAGAACAAGAAUUCUACAAAUUAAGAAAGAGCCAGAUCAUCAACCGACAUCGUAACUCGUCGGCUUGAGCUAUGUGUUGUAAUCUGUAUUACUUAUUAUCUUCGAACCAUUUGGAUAAAAUGUGUCUUGUAAUCUGUACUACUUAUUAUCUUCGAACCAUUUGGAUGAAAUGUAUCUUGUAAUCUGUACUAAUUAUUGUCUUUGAACCAUUUGGAUGAACUAUGUGUAGUAAUCUGUA